rnacentral:piRNA from 1 species
UCCACUAAUGAGACCAUGGGCCACUCUGC